GACGAACCGUGCGAACGUUGUUCGGAAUCACUGGGCUUAAAGGGCGCGUAGGCGGGUUCGCAAGUCUGUGGUGAAAGCCUCCAGCUUAACUGGAGAAGUGCCAUGGAUACUGCGCAUCUUGAGGAGGGUAGGGGCGUCUGGAACGGUCGGUGGAGCGGUGAAAUGCGUAGAUAUCGUUUGGAACGCCAAUGGUGAAAACAGACAGCUGGGAGUGUGCUGACGCUGAGACACGAAAGCCAGGGGAGCGAACGGG
rnacentral:rRNA from 1 species